ACAUGCUGGUUAUCUAGCACAAUUCAUCAGCGCAACACUGAAUCUUUUCUGUGACAUAUUCUCUCAGUGUACAGGUUUUCAUCAUACUUACCAAAUGAUCCGGAAAAUAAUUAUAAUUCUUUCCCUGAUAAUAGGGGUAUCUCAUUGUGAGAGACUGAAUCGCUAUGUUAGACAUUAUGAACUUCUUAGCUACAACACACAAGAGUUACAUUCCAAGCAUGAAAGAACCAGACGGUCAAUAGAUUCCUCCCAAGAAUUGGAACUUGACUUUGAGGCACAUGGGAGACCAUUUCAUCUGAGGUUACGACCCGGAGCACCAUACAUCUCCCAUAAUCUCAUACUAGAAACAGAUGAUGGUGCUGCUCCAUACAAACCAGAUUUCCUCUAUAUUGGAAACUUAAAAGGUAAAUUGAAACUUUUUUUUUAUUGAUUGAUUGAUUUGAGUCCUUUAUACUUACAAUUAAUCAGUGAACUUUAGUUUGUAGCAGUUGAUAUAAAUUGUUUCCAUGUUAAAGCAAUUCUAAAGUGUUUUUGUGGUCCACAUUUGAUACUCUGUAUCCAUAGGACUUCUGAAGCAAAAAAAGAAAGACCUGUCAGUACUCCAUAUUCUGACUUCAAUUCACAGAGUAUAAUAUGAUUCAAGUGUUGUAUGGAUGAUAUGCAUGUAUAUAUUUGUCAAUCCUCAGACAUGCGAUUAUUGUUUUAAUAUUGUAAGGUGUCAAUAUUACAAAGCUGUUAAUGCUUUGCAAAUAAUUAAUUAACUUGAUUUGUUGCAUUUUCGAGAACGUUCCUUAUAGAAAAAAUAUGUAUUUUCAUAUAUUAUCAGGAAGAAAAAAACAGGAUCAAUGAAAUCUUGAGAUAAAAUUUUAUUUCUUCCCUUUUUGUAUUUAUAUUGGAAGUUUGAUGAUUAUACAUAGAGGAUGGUGUACAUAUCAAAUUCAUUGAAAAUGUGUUUUUUUAUAUGCAUUUAUGAAGACCAAAAAAAAACGGCUUUGUUUGCUGUGACCCAAUUGAGUAUAGUAACACCUUUUAGUAACACCUACCAACUCAUGUUUUUUUUUCUUCAAAUUUGACCCCUGCUGAAUUAAUAAUGAGUAAAUAAAUAAAUAAUAAUAAUAAUUCUAAAAGAAAUGAAUACAGGAUUAGAUAAAGAAAGAAAGAAGAAGUAGAAUUAAAAAACAGUGUGUAGACGGAGCCUUGUUUUCCCAAGUUUUUCCACUUUUUUGUACAAAUAAAGUUUAUUGAAAAACAGUGAAUGGUGCAUGAGGAUAUUGUCCAAAUGAUGAGCAGAGAACCUUGUGCCUGACCAACCAACCCUUGAUAUCCAUUAUAUGAAAAUGGAUCCUAGAAGCUCUUUGAUAUUCAUGUAUACAUGUACACAAACAAAAUUCAUUAAUUUGUUUAAAUAUUCAACAUAUUGAUGCAGGAUUAAAAGAGUACCGGUAACAAUAAAAUCAGCAAAGCUUUUUUUCAUUAAUUUCCUGUAAACACUUAAUCAUACGUAGACCAAUGCCAAGUUUUUCUUCUGUUGAGGCAAACAAACAGUUUUUAGGUGUGGUCUACACUUACUAAGAACUGGGAAGUGAAACAAGAAAUUUUGUGUUAUGUGCAUACAUAUCAUAUUUUUACUGGUAUACUAGACAUUGAAUGUUUUAAGUACUUUUUUGAGUAAACAUAAUUGUACUUGAGAUAAUAUAUGUCCCUCUUUCAAGUUGAUUAUUUUUCUAGAUUUUCCAUUCAGUCUCCUGACUCUCCUCUCUUUAGACUCAUAAUAUGUUAUGAUAAAUGUACAUUUACAGUAUAGAGCUUUAAGAAGCUGAUCAGCAACUGCUAAUAUUAUGCAAGCAAAUCAAAAUCACUAACGAGCGCAUAUAAUUUAUCCGCAUUUAUUGUUCAGAGUCAACCCUUUGCCUUUUAUGAGAUAUUGGUAUCUUUAAUCAUAUGAUAAGUAUUAAAGUCAGUGUGUUUGUAAUUUAAGGCAGUGAAUUUUUAGAUAUUUCUUAGAUAUUUCUCGAAUGUGAUCCAUUUCACUGAAAAUAAUAUUAUUUGCAAAUUGCAAUAUAUUGAUUUUAAUAAAGUACGAAUAGACUGUUUGAAACAAAAUCAUUAUAAAAAAGGAAAUUAAUACAGAUACUGUAUAGCCACAAACUCAGAAUGUAGGUGUAGAUCAACAUGUAUAGUCUGGUAACUCUCAAUAAAUUCUGUCCUUUCUAGGCAUACUGUAUUGAUUCACAAGAAAAGCUGCUAUCGUUUUAGACUUAUUUCCCCUUUGAGUCACCCAGUUUCAACACGAUUCUUAUCUCAUCCGAGAAGCAAAUCAAUGACGUGCUUCAAACACUCACUCUGAUUUUGUCACCAUUUUCUCUUCAUCGUCUUGUCUGUACCUUUAUAUUUGAAUGUGUUGGGCGAUUCUGUACGGGACAUUUGGCAACAAUUAUUUGUCUCUUCGCUGAAUGCUUGAGUAAUAAAAUUUUCUUUUCUGUCAGUGAUAAAGGUAUGGGGAUCGUCUUUGAAAAACCGAU